ACUGAACGCUGGCGGCAGGCCUAACACAUGCAAGUCGAACGGUAACAGGAAACAGCUUGCUGUUUCGCUGACGAGUGGCGGACGGGUGAGUAAUGUCUGGGAAACUGCCUGAUGGAGGGGGAUAACUACUGGAAACGGUAGCUAAUACCGCAUAACGUCGCAAGACCAAAGAGGGGGACCUUCGGGCCUCUUGCCAUCGGAUGUGCCCAGAUGGGAUUAGCUAGUAGGUGGGGUAACGGCUCACCUAGGCGACGAUCCCUAGCUGGUCUGGGAGGAUGACCAGCCACACUGGAACUGAGACACGGGCCAGACUCCUACGGGAGGCAGCAGUGGGGAAUAUUGCACAAUGGGCGCAAGCCUGAUGCAGCCAUGCCGCGUGUAUGAAGAAGGCCUUCGGGUUGUAAAGUACUUUCAGCGGGGAGGAAGGGAGUAAAGUUAAUACCUUUGCUCAUUGACGUUACCCGCAGAAGAAGCACCGGCUAACUACGUGCCAGCAGCCGCGGUAA
rnacentral:rRNA from 1 species